CCUACGGGAGGCAGCAGUGAGGAAUAUUGGACAAUGGGCGAGAGCCUGAACCAGCCAAGUCGCGUGAGGGAUGACGGUCCUACGGAUUGUAAACCUCUUUUGCCGGGGAGCAAGCGUGCGUGCAUGAACGCGCGUCGAGAGUACCCGGAGAAAAAGCAUCGGCUAACUCGGUGCCAGCAGCCGCGGUAAUACGGAGGAUGCGAGCGUUAUGCGGAGUUAUUGGGUGAAAGGGGUGCGUAGGCGUGAUGCCAAGUCAGCGGUAAAAAUGCGGUGCUCAACGCCGUCGAGCCGUUGAAACUGGCGUUCUUGAGUGGGCGAGAGGUAUGCGGAAUGCGUGGUGUAGCGGUGAAAUGCAUAGAUAUCACGCAGAACUCCGAUUGCGAAGGCGGCAUACCGGCGCCCUACUGACGCUGAGGCACGAAAGCGUGGGUAUCGAACAGGAUUAGAUACCCGGGUAGUC
rnacentral:rRNA from 1 species